rnacentral:rRNA from 1 species
AAGACGAGGAUAACAGUUGGAAACUACUGCUAAGACUGGAUAGGAGACAAGAAGGCAUCUUCUUGUUUUUAAAAGACCUAGUAAUAGGUAUGCUUAGGGAGGAGCUUGCGUCACAUUAGUUAGUUGGUGGGGUAAAGGCCUACCAAGACUAUGAUGUGUAGCCGGGCUGAGAGGUUGAACGGCCACAUUGGGACUGAGACACGGCCCAAACUCCUACGGGAGGCAGCAGUAGGGAAUUUUCGGCAAUGGAGGAAACUCUGACCGAGCAACGCCGCGUGAACGAUGAAGUAUUUCGGUACGUAAAGUUCUUUUAUUAGGGAAGAAUAAAUGAUGGAAAAAUCAUUCUGACGGUACCUAAUGAAUAAGCCCCGGCUAACUAUGUGCCACCAGCCGCGGUAAUACAUAGGGGGCAAGCGUUAUCCGGAAUUAUUGGGCGUAAAGGGUGCGUAGGCGGUUAAAUAAGUUUAUGGUCUAAGUGCAAUGCUCAACAUUGGGAUGCUAUAAAAACUGUUUAGCUAGAGUAAGAUAGAGGCAAGUGGAAUUCCAUGUGUAGUGGUAAAAUGCGUAAAUAUAUGGAGGAACACCAGUAGCGAAGGCGGCUUGCUGGGUCUUUACUGACGCUGAGGCACGAAAGCGUGGGGAGCAAACAGGAUUAGAUACCCUGGUAGUCCACGCCGUAAACGAUGAGUACUAAACGUUGGGUAAAACCAGUGUUGAAGUUAACACAUUAAGUACUCCGCCUGAGUAGUACGUACGCAAGUAUGAAACUUAAAGGAAUUGACGGGACUCCGCACAAGCGGUGGAUCAUGUUGUUUAAUUCGAAGGUACCCGAAAAACCUCACCAGGUCUUGACAUGCUUCUGCAAAGCUGUAGAAACACAGUGGAGGUUAUCAGUUGCACAGGUGGUGCAUGGUUGUCGUCAGCUCGUGUCGUGAGAUGUUGGGUUAAGUCCCGCAACGAGCGCAACCCUUAUUGUUAGUUACCAGCACGUAAUGGUGGGGACUUUAGCAAGACUGCCAGUGAUAAAUUGGAGGAAGGUGGGGACGACGUCAAAUCAUCAUGCCCCUUAUGACCCGGGCUACAAACGUGAUACAAUGGCUGUUACAAAGGGUAGCUGAAGCGCAAGUUUUUGGCGAAUCUCAAAAAAACAGUCUCAGUUCGGAUUGAAGUCUGCAACUCGACUUCAUGAAGUUGGAAUCGCUAGUAAUCGCGAAUCAGCAUGUCGCGGUGAAUACGUUCUCGGGGUUUGUACACACCGCCCGUCAAACCACGAAAGUUGGCAAUACCCAAAGCCGGUGGCCUAACUUCGCAAGAAGAGGGAACCGUCUAAGGUAGGGUUGAUGAUUGGGGUUAAGUCGUAACAAGGUAUCCCUACCGGAAGGUGGGGAUGGAUCACCUCCUUUCU